GCCUGAAAGCCCUUAGAACAAAUGCACACUGGGCUGAGAAGCCUCCUCUGAGAUGGUUUAUACGCGUCGAGAUGUGACUUCACGAGAGCACCUCUGGGCUUCUCCAGUGACUACAGGAACCACUCACAAAAUUUAAAUUUGCUGGGCCUUUUUCAAGCAAGAAAAGGUGCUGAGUGCUAAGAAGAGAGGCCCAGACAUAAGAUGCAAACAAGUACCCCUCAGUGCUCUUCUACAGACCUCACAAAUGCCUGGCCUGCACACAUCAGAUACAUUCAGCACUGGGAAUAUAGCAAGGAACAAGUCAGAC